GACGAACGCUGGCGGCGUGCUUAACACAUGCAAGUCGAACGGAAAGGCCCUGCUUUUGUGGGGUGCUCGAGUGGCGAACGGGUGAGUAACACGUGAGUAACCUGCCCCUGUCUUUGGGAUAACAUCAGGAAACUGGGGCUAAUAUCGGAUAGGAGCUCCUGCUGCAUGGUGGAGGUUGGAAAGAUUCGGCGGUUGGGGAUGGACUCGCGGCUUAUCAGCUUGUUGGUGUGGUAGUGGCUUACAAAGGUUUUGACGGGUAGCCGGCCUGGGAGGGGGACCGGCCACAUUGGGACUGAGAUACGGCCCAGACGCCUACGGGAGGCAGCAGUGGGGAAUAUUGCACAGUGGGCGGAAGCGUGAUGCAGCGGCGCCGCGUGCGGGAUGACGGCCUUCGAGUUGUAAACCGCUUUGGCCGGUGACGAGGCGUGAGUGACGGUAAUGGGUAAAGAAGCAACGGCUAACUACGUG
rnacentral:rRNA from 1 species